rnacentral:rRNA from 1 species
UACAGAGGUCUCGAGCGUUAGGCGGAAUCACUGGGCUUAAAGCGUGUGUAGGUGGAUUUGUAAGUACCUUGUGAAAUCCCAUGGCUCAACCAUGGAACUGCUCGGUAUACUGCUCGUCUUGAGCCACUUAGGGGCUGUCGGAACAAACGGUGGAGCGGUGAAAUGCGUAGAUAUCGUUUGGAACGCCAAUGGUGAAAACAGACAGCUGGGAGUGUGCUGACGCUGAGACACGAAAGCCAGGGGAGCGAACGGG